UCUGGUUCUUUAACCUUGUGGUAACACCUAAUUCCAUAUCGAACUUAGAAGUGAAAUACAUUGUAGGAUAACUAAAUUUAAGGGACACCUUUUGUAAAAUUUUUCCUUGAGCCAGAU
rnacentral:rRNA from 1 species